GCGCCCUUAGCUCAGUGGUAGAGCACAGCAUUCACAUUGCUGGGGUCGUAGGUUCAAUCCCUACAGGGCGCA
rnacentral:tRNA from 1 species